rnacentral:rRNA from 1 species
CUUGGUCAUUUAGAGGAAGUAAAAGUCGUAACAAGGUUUCCGUAGGUGAACCUGCGGAAGGAUCAUUACUGGGACCCAGGUUGGGCGCUUCGGCGCCCGCCCCCACCCUUUGCCUAGCCUCUAGACAACACAAACCCGUCGGCCUUAGGCGCGCCCGCUUGACAGCGCGGUGCGCCGGCCGGACAUCAAACCCUGAACAACAUUGCAGCCUGAAGUUAAAAGCAAAUAGUUAAAACUUUCAACAACGGAUCUCUUGGUUCUGGCAGCGAUGAAGAACGCAGCGAAAUGCGAUAAGUAAUGUGAAUUGCAGAAUUCAGUGAAUCAUCGAAUCUUUGAACGCACAUUGCGCCCCCUGGUAUUCCGGGGGGCACACCUGUUCGAGCGCCAUUACAAACCUCAAGCCUAGCUUGGUGAUGGGCCCCGCCCGCGCGGUGGGCCCGAAACUCGUGGGCGCCCCAGGCCGGACUCCAAGCGUAGCAAAACCCUCGCUUGCGGACGACCGGUCGGAGGCCGCCCCGGACCCCAAUUUUUAUCAAUGGUUGGCCUCGGAUCAGGUGGGGAUACCCGCUGAACUUAAGCAUAUCAAUAAGCGGAGGAAAAGAAACCAACAGGGAUUGCCUCAGUAACGGCGAGUGAAGCGGCAACAGCUCAAAUUUGAAAUCUGGCUCCUUCGGGGUCCGAGUUGUAAUUUGUAGAGGGUGCUUCGAGCGAAGCCCCGGCCCAAGUCCCUUGGAACAGGACGUCAGAGAGGGUGAGAACCCCGUGUCCGGCCGGCGGCGCUCCUCGUGUGAAGCCCCUUCGACGAGUCGAGUUGUUUGGGAAUGCAGCUCUAAAUUGGUGGUAAAUUCCAUCUAAAGCUAAAUACCGGCCAGAGACCGAUAGCGCACAAGUAGAGUGAUCGAAGGAUGAAAAGCACUUUGAAAAGAGAGUUAAAAAGUACGUGAAAUUGUUGAAAGGGAAGCGCUUGCGGCCAGACUUGCCCGCGGAGGUUCAGCCCGUCUUCUGGCGGGUGCACUCCUUCGCGGUCAGGCCAGCAUCGGUUUGGGCGGUCGGACAAAGGCCUUGGGAACGUAGCCCCCUCCGGGGGGUGUUAUAGCCCUCGGUGCAAUGCGGCCAGCCCGGACCGAGGAUCGCGCUCUGCUAGGAUGCUGGCGUAAUGGCUGUAAGCGGCCCGUCUUGAAACACGGACC